UUUAAUAGAUAAGCAUUUACUUUUUGCCCUCCAUCAAUUUCUUAACAUUGUACAUACUUUAGUAAUGUACAUUGGCUAGUAAUAUAUUGCCUUAUUUUAUCAGAUGUAAUCUUUCUGGAGCCAAAAGAACUCUGAGCCAAGUCAAUGAAACAAACAUUCUCCAAAAAGCCAAUAAAAAGAAGUCUGAGGCCUGUAAAAUGGGUGGCGGACCACCACCACCUUCACUCACUCCAGCGGAGGAGCUGGCACUGUCCCUUAAUCAAGGGCGACCUGUGGUCGAUGGGAUUCCAGGGGGCAGUUCAGAGUCCGCUACUUCCAUGAUACAAUUGGCUUAGUAAAAUUUGCUGAUGGACACAUUGUAUUAAUGGACCCUGCUGCAACAGCACAGCUUGCCACAGUUAAUAUGGCUGGGGAUUCCUAUACAGAGGAGGGUCCAUCUACCUCUACACAGAAUCUUAGCAGUGUGAUAGAUUUUCUGCAGUUGUCUUUAUUAAAAUAAUUGGUCUGUAUAUGUAUUACAGACUUUAGCAAUCAUAUUAAAUUAUCAUUCGGUGUUGCAAAGGAUUUUGAGCUGUAUAAGGUCCAUCUUCAAAGGCAAAUAAGAAAGUGACAUGGAGAUGGACCUUAUACAGCUUCAAAUGGAGGAGAAAAUGCUGAACAUAAAAAAGGCCAGACUUGAAAUUAAAUUGC